rnacentral:rRNA from 1 species
GUGGGGAAUCUUGCGCAAUGGGCGAAAGCCUGACGCAGCCAUGCCGCGUGAAUGAUGAAGGUCUUAGGAUUGUAAAAUUCUUUCACCGGGGACGAUAAUGACGGUACCCGGAGAAGAAGCUCCGGCUAACUUCGUGCCAGCAGCCGCGGUAAUACGAAGGGGGCUAGCGUUGCUCGGAAUUACUGGGCGGAAAGGGCGCGUAGGCGGACAGCUUAGUCAGAGGUGAAAGCCCAGGGCUCAACCUUGGAAUUGCCUUUGAUACUGGCUGUCUUGAGUUUGGGAGAGGUGAGUGGAACUCCGAGUGUAGAGGUGAAAUUCGUAGAUAUUCGGAAGAACACCAGUGGCGAAGGCGACUCACUGGCCCAAUACUGACGCUGAGGCGCGAAAGCGUGGGGAGCAAACAGGAUUAGAAACCCCGGUAGUCC